rnacentral:rRNA from 1 species
UACGAAGGGGACUAGCGUUGUUCGGAUUUACUGGGCGUAAAGCUCGUGUAGGCGGGUCGUUAAGUUGGGGGUGAAAUCCCGGAGCUCAACUCCGGAACUGCCUUCAAAACUGGCGACCUGGACUCAAGCAGAGGCAAGUGGAAUUGCGAGUGUAGAGGUGAAAUUCGUAGAUAUUCGCAGGAACACCAGUGGCGAAAGUGACUUGCUGGGCUUGUAUUGAUUAUGAUACGCGAAAGCGUGGGGAGCAAACAGG